AAAAAAAAUCCGACCGAAGUUUAUCAAACAAAAGCCUUCCUUUUCAUCACCUUUGUUUCUUAACACACCCACCAGAUCUAGCACUUUUGAACUUCUCUCCGGCACCCGCUAGUUGCAAGGUUAGCUGCCUCUUGUUUUUUGUGUGUUUUUGGAGGGUCGCCAGUGUGAAAUCUGAGGGGGUUUGUGAUCGGUUUUACCAAAUAAGAAAGAAAAGAAAGGGAGAGUAAAACGAAAAAGGAAAAAGAUGGGAGAGGGUGAGCGGUUUCAGCUGGGAACGGUUGGGGCGUUGACUCUGUCAGUAGUUUCAUCAGUGUCCAUAGUGAUCUGCAACAAGGCUUUAAUCAGCUCAUUGGGUUUCCAUUUCGCUACAACUUUGACAAGCUGGCAUCUUCUAGUCACCUUUUCUUCUCUUCACGUGGCUUUAAAGAUGAAACUGUUCGAACACAAACCGUUUGAUCAAAAAGCUGUUAUGGGCUUUGGCAUUCUAAAUGGGAUCUCCAUUGGACUUUUGAAUUUGAGCCUGGGUUUCAAUUCUGUUGGAUUUUAUCAGAUGACCAAGCUGGCAAUCAUCCCUUGUACUGUACUUUUGGAGACCCUUUUCCUUGGGAAGAGAUUCAGUAGGAGUAUUCAGCUUUCGCUCAUUAUCCUCCUUCUGGGAGUUGGCAUUGCAACAGUCACUGAUUUGCAGCUCAAUGCUCUGGGCUCUGUCCUAUCUCUCCUUGCAAUUGUUACAACAUGUGUUGCUCAAAUUAUGACCAAUACCAUCCAGAAGAAUUUUAAGGUUUCUUCAACCCAACUUCUAUAUCAAUCUUGUCCAUACCAAGCAGGCACUUUGUUGAUCUCUGGUCCAUUUUUGGAUGGGUUUUUGACUGAUCAAAAUGUAUUUACUUUCAAAUAUACAACUCAAGUACUGGCUUUCAUCAUUCUAUCCUGCCUAAUAUCCGUCUCUGUAAAUUUUAGCACAUUCCUUGUAAUUGGAAAGACUUCCCCAGUCACCUAUCAGGUUCUUGGACAUCUGAAGACAUGCCUUGUAUUGGCGUUUGGUUAUGUCUUACUUCAUGAUCCCUUUAGCUGGAGGAAUAUUUUAGGAAUUUUUAUUGCACUGAUUGGGAUGGUUCUAUAUUCUUAUUUUUGCACUCGUGAGAGUCAGUCAAAAACUACCGAAGUGUCAGCACAACCAUUUCAGCCGGUGGAAGGUGAAUCUGAUCCUCUGCUGAAUGCGGAAAAUGGAAAAGGUGGAUUAAUUGAGGCUGUUGUCCCAAAAGCCCCUGUAUGGAAUUCAAGCAAAGAUUUGGAUGCAUGAAGGAUUUUUCAUACACCUAAGAGAAGCAGAUGCAACCAUGAGGGCAAUGACGAUACACGAGACCCAUGUCUUACUCCCUAAAUUUGCACAGAUCAGGAUAGCCUUUUAUUGUUGGGGACAUAGGAGGCCACCUGGGCAUAUGGGCUAAAAAAAUGCAGGAUAUCAUGCUACACUGAUGGAGUCGGUUGAAGCGCUAAAUGUCAGAGAUAGCUACUCAGGCAGAGCAAAGAGUGGAAUGACAAAUGCCCAAAUUGAUGCUGGGCGGAGGAGUAGACAUUUAGAGAAUGAAAAGUGAAAAAAAAAAAGAAGCUUGUUUCUGUAUUAUAUAUUCAUUCUAUGGUCCAUUGUAAUCAUACAUACAACUGCACAUGUUUGUGAUAGGUAACUAGUUCCAUUUAAAAG